AUUGAACGCUGGCGGCAUGCUUUACACAUGCAAGUCGAACGGUAACAGGCCGCCAGGUGCUGACGAGUGGUGAACGGGUGAGUAAUGCAUCGGAACGUGCCCAGUCGUGGGGGAUAACUACUCGAAAGAGUAGCUAAUACCGCAUACGAUCUAUGGAUGAAAGCGGGGGACCGUAAGGCCUCGCGCGAUUGGAGCGGCCGAUGUCAGAUUAGGUAGUUGGUGGGGUAAAGGCUCACCAAGCCAACGAUCUGUAGCUGGUCUGAGAGGACGACCAGCCACACUGGGACUGAGACACGGCCCAGACUCCUACGGGAGGCAGCAGUGGGGAAUUUUGGACAAUGGGCGCAAGCCUGAUCCAGCAAUGCCGCGUGCAGGAAGAAGGCCUUCGGGUUGUAAACUGCUUUUGUACGGAACGAAACGGCUCUGGUUAAUACCCGGGGCUAAUGACGGUACCGUAAGAAUAAGCACCGGCUAACUACGU
rnacentral:rRNA from 1 species